ACAAAAGAUUGUGGUUGCCCAAAUUGUCCCAAUUAUAAAGUGUAUGAUCGCUUGGCCACUGCUACCGGCGGACAAGUGUUUCAUAUGGAUAAACCAAAUCUUUCAGAGGUGCUGAACUAUAUUGUUGACUCGGUUAAGAGCAAGAAUUGCCUGAUAAGCCACGACAUUUUACCCAAAAUAAAUGGUCGGGUUAUUACGCACCCAUUUUCAGUUGACUGUAAGAUGAGAGACGUCACACUAUCCCU